rnacentral:rRNA from 1 species
UACGUAGGGAGCGAGCGUUGUCCGGAUUCAUUGGGCGUAAAGAGCUCGUAGGCGGCUUGGCAAGUCGGGUGUGAAAACUCCAGGCUCAACCUGGAGACGCCACCCGAUACUGCCAUGGCUAGAGUCCGGUAGGGGACCACGGAAUUCCUGGUGUAGCGGUGAAAUGUGUAGAGAUCGGGAGGAACACCGGUGGCGAAGGCGGGUCUCUGGGCAAUUCCUGACGCUGAGGCGCGAAAGCGUGGGGAGCAAACGGG